rnacentral:rRNA from 1 species
UACGUAGGUGGCAAGCGUUGUCCGGAUUUACUGGGCGUAAAGAGCGCGCAGGCGGUCGGAUAAGUCGAGUGUGAAAGCCCCUGGCUCAACCAGGGAGGGUCAUUCGAUACUGUUCGACUCGAAGGCAGGAGAGGGAAGUGGAAUUCCGGGUGUAGUGGUGAAAUGCGCAGAUAUCAGGAGGAACACCGGUGGCGAAGGCGGUGCUCUGGGCCGGUACUGACGCUGAGGAGCGAAAGCGUGGGUAGCAAACAGG